rnacentral:rRNA from 1 species
UGGCUCAGGAUGAACGCUAGCUACAGGCUUAACACAUGCAAGUCGAGGGGCAGCAUGGUCUUAGCUUGCUAAGGCCGAUGGCGACCGGCGCACGGGUGAGUAACACGUAUCCAACCUGCCGUCUACUCUUGGACAGCCUUCUGAAAGGAAGAUUAAUACAAGAUGGCAUCAUGAGUUCACAUGUUCACAUGAUUAAAGGUAUUCCGGUAGACGAUGGGGAUGCGUUCCAUUAGAUAGUAGGCGGGGUAACGGCCCACCUAGUCUUCGAUGGAUAGGGGUUCUGAGAGGAAGGUCCCCCACAUUGGAACUGAGACACGGUCCAAACUCCUACGGGAGGCAGCAGUGAGGAAUAUUGGUCAAUGGGCGAGAGCCUGAACCAGCCAAGUAGCGUGAAGGAUGACUGCCCUAUGGGUUGUAAACUUCUUUUAUAAAGGAAUAAAGUCGGGUAUGUAUACCCGUUUGCAUGUACUUUAUGAAUAAGGAUCGGCUAACUCCGUGCCAGCAGCCGCGGUAAUACGGAGGAUCCGAGCGUUAUCCGGAUUUAUUGGGUUUAAAGGGAGCGUAGAUGGAUGUUUAAGUCAGUUGUGAAAGUUUGCGGCUCAACCGUAAAAUUGCAGUUGAUACUGGAUAUCUUGAGUGCAGUUGAGGCAGGCGGAAUUCGUGGUGUAGCGGUGAAAUGCUUAGAUAUCACGAAGAACUCCGAUUGCGAAGGCAGCCUGCUAAGCUGCAACUGACAUUGAGGCUCGAAAGUGUGGGUAUCAAACAGGAUUAGAUACCCUGGUAGUCCACACGGUAAACGA